rnacentral:rRNA from 1 species
AGUCUGCAACUCGACUCCAUGAAGUCGGAAUCGCUAGUAAUCGUGGAUCAGAAUGCCACGGUGAAUACGUUCCCGGGCCUUGUACACACCGCCCGUCACACCAUGGGAGUGGGUUGCAAAGAAGUAGGUAGCUUAACCUUCGGGAGGGCGCUUACCACUUUGUGAUUCAUGACUUGGGGU